rnacentral:rRNA from 1 species
UACGGAGGGGGCAAGCGUUAUUCGGAUUUACUGGGCGUAAAGGGUGCGUAGGCGGUCGCGCAAGUCUGAUGUGAAAUCUUCACCACUCAACGGGAAGAGGUCAUUGGAAACUGCGCGACUUGAGUUUGGUAGAGGCUAGCGGAAUUCCUGGUGUAGCGGUGGAAUGUGUAGAUAUCAGGAAGAACACCUGUGGCGAAGGCGGCUAGCUGGGCCAAUACUGACGCUGAGGCACGAAAGCGUGGGGAGCAAACGGG